rnacentral:rRNA from 1 species
GUCUUUUUGAUUAUAAUUUAAAGUCGAAUCUGCCCACUGAUUUUAUUAAAGGGCUGCAGUAAAUUGACUGUACAAAGGUAGCAUAAUCAUUAGUCUUUUGAUUGAAGACUUGUAUGAAAGAUUUGAUGAGAUAUAAACUGUCUCUUUAUUAAUUUUAGAAUUUAAUUUUUUAGUAAAAAAGCUAAAAUUUUUUUAAAAGACGAGAAGACCCUAUAGAGUUUUAUAAUUAGAUUAAUUAAAAUUAUUAUUAAUAUUAAAUAAAAAUUAAUUUAAUUAUUUUGUUGGGGUGAUAAAAAAAUUAAAUUAACUUUUUUUUACUUAUAAACAUUAAUUAAUGAGAAGUUGAGCCAUAAAUUAUGAUUUAAAGAAAAAAUUACCUUAGGGAUAACAGCGUUAUUUUUUCUUUUAGUUCAAAUAAAAGAGAAAGUUUGCGACCUCGAUGUUGGAUUAAGAUAUAAUUUAAAUGUAGAAGUUUAAAAGUUUUGAUCUGUUCGAUCAUUAAAAUCUUACA